rnacentral:rRNA from 1 species
UUUGUUGCCAGCGGUCCGGCCGGGAACUCAAAGGAGACUGCCAGUGAUAAACUGGAGGAAGGUGGGGAUGACGUCAAGUCAUCAUGGCCCUUACGACCAGGGCUACACACGUGCUACAAUGGCGCAUACAAAGAGAAGCGACCUCGCGAGAGCAAGCGGACCUCAUAAAGUGCGUCGUAGUCCGGAUUGGAGUCUGCAACUCGACUCCAUGAAGUCGGAAUCGCUAGUAAUCGUGGAUCAGAAUGCCACGGUGAAUACGUUCCCGGGCCUUGUACACACCGCCCGUCACACCAUGGGAGUGGGUUGCAAAAGAAGUAGGUAGCUUAACCUUCGGGAGGGCGCUUACCACUUUGUGAUUCAUGACUGGGGUGAAGUCGUAACAAGGUAACCGUAGGGGAACCUGC